GAUGAACGCUGGCGGCGUGCCUAAUACAUGCAAGUCGAGCGAACAGACGAGGAGCUUGCUCCUCUGACGUUAGCGGCGGACGGGUGAGUAACACGUGGAUAACCUACCUAUAAGACUGGGAUAACUUCGGGAAACCGGAGCUAAUACCGGAUAACAUGUUGAACCGCAUGGUUCAACAGUGAAAGACGGUUUUGCUGUCACUUAUAGAUGGAUCCGCGCCGCAUUAGCUAGUUGGUAAGGUAACGGCUUACCAAGGCAACGAUGCGUAGCCGACCUGAGAGGGUGAUCGGCAACACUGGAACUGAGACACGGUCCAGACUCCUACGGGAGGCAGCAGUAGGGAAUCUUCCGAAAUGGGCGAAAGCCUGACGGAGCAACGCCGCGUGAGUGAAGAAGGUCUUCGGAUCGUAAAACUCUGUUAUUAGGGAAGAACAAAUGUGUAAGUAACUAUGCACGUCUUGACGGUACCUAAUCAGAAAGCCACGGCUAACUACGUG
rnacentral:rRNA from 1 species